rnacentral:rRNA from 1 species
CAUAUCAAUAAGCGGAGGAAAAGAAACCAACAGGGAUUGCCUCAGUAACGGCGAGUGAAGCGGCAACAGCUCAAAUUUGAAAUCUGGCCUUCUACGGGGUCCGAGUUGUAAUUUGUAGAGGAUGCUUCGGUGUUGGCCCCGGCCUAAGUUCCUUGGAACAGGACGUCGCAGAGGGUGAGAAUCCCGUACGCGGCCGGUGUCCCUCGCCAUGUGAAGCUCCUUCGACGAGUCGAGUUGUUUGGGAAUGCAGCUCUAAAUGGGAGGUAAAUUUCUUCUAAAGCUAAAUACCGGCCAGAGACCGAUAGCGCACAAGUAGAGUGAUCGAAAGAUGAAAAGCACUUUGGAAAGAGAGUCAAAAAGUACGUGAAAUUGUUGAAAGGGAAGCGCUUGCAACCAGACCUGCCCGCGGUCGCUCAUCCAGGCUCCUGCCUGGUGCACUCUUCCGCGGUCAGGCCAGCAUCGGUUCGGGCGGUCGGACAAAGACGGUGGGAAUGUGGCUCCUCUCGGGGAGUGUUAUAGCCCGCCGUGCAAUGCGGCCAGUCCGGACCGAGGUCCGCGCUUCGGCUAGGAUGCUGGCGUAAUGGUUGUAAGCGGCCCGUCUUGAAACACGGACCAAGGAGUCUAACAUCUGUGCGAGUGUUUGGGUGUCAAGCCCGGACGCGUAAUGAAAGUGAACGGAGGCGGGAACCCUAGGGUGCACCGUCGACCGAUCCUGAUGUCUUCGGAUGGAUUUGAGUAAGAGCAUAGCUGUUGGGACCCGAAAGAUGGUGAACUAUGCCUGAAUAGGGUGAAGCCAGAGGAAACUCUGGUGGAGGCUCGCAGCGGUUCUGACGUGCAAAUCGAUCGUCAAAUUUGGGCAUAGGGGCGAAAGUAGGUUUAAAUAUUCACUGUGCUAUUAGAAUUCAAUGCUAACAAUUCUUCUAGGACUAAUCGAACUAUCUAGUAGCUGGUUCCUGCCGAAGUUUCCCUCAGGAUAGCAGUAACGUUUUCAGUUUUAUGAGGUAAAGCGAAUGAUUAGAGGCCUGGGGGUUGAAACAACCUUCACCUAUUCUCAAACUUUAAAUAUGUAAGAAGUCCUUGUUACUUAGUUGAACGUGGACAUUUGAAUGCACCGUUACUAGUGGGCCAUUUUUGGUAAGCAGAACUGGCGAUGCGGGAUGAACCGAACGCGGGGUUAAGGUGCCGGAAUGCACGCUCAUCAGACACCACAAAAGGUGUUAGUUCAUCUAGACAGCAGGACGGUGGCCAUGGAAGUCGGAAUCCGCUAAGGAGUGUGUAACAACUCACCUGCCGAAUGAACUAGCCCUGAAAAUGGAUGGCGCUCAAGCGUGCUACCCAUACCCCGCCGCCGGGGCAAGAGUUACGCCCCGGCGAGUAGGCAGGCGUGGAGGCCCGUGACGAAGCCUUGGGGGUGACCCCGGGUAGAACGGCCUCUAGU